UACGUAGGGUGCGAGCGUUAAUCGGAAUUACUCGGCGUAAAGCGUGCGCAGGCGGUUUUGUCAGCCAGAUGUGAAAUCCCCGGGCUUAACCUGGGAAUGGCAUUUGGGACUGCAAGGCUGGAGUUUGGCAGAGGAGACUGGAAUUCCUGGUGUAGCAGUGAAAUGCGUAGAUAUCAGGAGGAAUACCGAUGGCGAAGGCAGGUCUCUGGGCUAUAACUGACGCUCAUGCACGAAAGCGUGGGGAGCAAACAGG
rnacentral:rRNA from 1 species